GUGAACGCCUGAGGGGAGAGAGGUAAGAGCCGCGCUGAAGGAGCCUCCGACUUUAGAGGAUGAGGUCUGGAAGUGGAAAUUAAUUACUAUUUCCACAUCAAAGCUCAACGUCAGCCUCCAGAUGCUGCGGGACCAGCGAAGGCCAAACUCAGCAGCAUCAGCAGCGGGAUGAGCUCGUCGCCCGUCUCCACGUAGGGCAUGGAGAGGUCACGGUCGUGACAACGGAAGCCCACGGUGGCCGGGGACAGCACAUCUGUCAGCUCCAGGAAGUACAGCGACACCAGGGAGGACAGGACGAUGGGGAGCUGCGCA